rfam:Medicago truncatula strain A17 chromosome 6, whole genome shotgun sequence.
AAACAGCCUCCGAUGUAUUGGAUCUUUGGCAGUUUUGACCCCAAGGCCACUUUUGACUUAGUCUUCGCUGACGUGGCACCCACAAUGGUCAACACGUGGGUGCCACGUCAGCGAAGACUAAGUCAAAAGUGGCUUUGGGGGCCAAAACUGCCAAAGAUCCAAUACAUAGAGGGCUGUUU